GACGAACGCUGGCGGCGUGCUUAACACAUGCAAGUCGAACGGAAAGGCCCUGCUUUUGUGGGGUGCUCGAGUGGCGAACGGGUGAGUAACACGUGAGUAACCUGCCCUUGACUUUGGGAUAACUUCAGGAAACUGGGGCUAAUACCGGAUAGGAGCUCCUGCUGCAUGGUGGGGGUUGGAAAGUUUCGGCGGUUGGGGAUGGACUCGCGGCUUAUCAGCUUGUUGGUGGGGUAGUGGCUUACCAAGGCUUUGACGGGUAGCCGGCCUGAGAGGGUGACCGGCAGCGUUGGGACGGAGGGAGGGCCCGGCCCACGCGGGGGGGAGGCGGGGGGAAUUUUGGCAAAGGGGCGGGAGGUGGGAUGCACCACCCCCGUGGGGGGAAGGGUGGCUUCCGGGUGUAAACCCUUUUCCCCCGGGAAAGAAGGGGGAGUGAGGUUAGGGAAUAAAGAAGCCCGGGCAAACUAGGUC
rnacentral:rRNA from 1 species